rnacentral:rRNA from 1 species
GCGCAGGAAAAGAAACCAACAGGGAUUGCCUCAGUAACGGCGAGUGAAGCGGCAAAAGCUCAAAUUUGAAAUCUGGCGCCUUUGGCGUCCGAGUUGUAAUUUGUAGAGGUAGCUUUGGGUGUACAGCCAGGUUUAUGUUCCUUGGAACAGGACGUCAUGGAGGGUGAGAAUCCCGUAAAUGACUUGGCCAAUGCCUAUGUAUAGCGCCUUCGACGAGUCGAGUUGUUUGGGAAUGCAGCUCUAAGUGGGUGGUAAAUUCCAUCUAAAGCUAAAUACUGGCGAGAGACCGAUAGCGCACAAGUAGAGUGAUCGAAAGGUGAAUAGCACUCCGGAAGGAGAGUUAAACAGCACGUGAAAUUGUUGAAAGGGAAGCGCUUGAGACCAGACUCAGGCAGGGUUGAUCAACCUCCAUUCUUGGUGGUGCACUCUUCUCUGCCCGGGCCAGCAACAGUUUCGGCGGUGGUAUAAAGGUUUAGGGAAUGUGGCUCUCUUCGGGGAGUGUUAUAGCCCUAUUCGUAAUGCUGCCAGUUGAGACUGAGGACCGCGCUUCGGCUAGGUUGUUGGCGUAAUGGUCUUAAGCGACACGUCUUGUGGCACGGACCAAGGAGUCUAACAUCUAUGCUAGUGUUUGGGUGGAGAAGCCCUACGCUUUCUGAAUUUGAUUUGAGGCGCUUCACUCGCCGUUACUGAGGCUCCCCUGUUGUUAUGUUUUCGGGCGCUAUGAAUAAAAGACCCCGGGCAGCGGGCCUGAAUUCUGACCGUGGGCCAUCGUUUCCCCGUGGAGAAUUGAAACCCCCCUGAAGA